rnacentral:rRNA from 1 species
GACGGGGGGGGCAAGUGUUCUUCGGAAUUACUGGGCGUAAAGGGCGCGUAGGCGGCCUUCUAAGUCGAACGUGAAAUCCCCGGGCUCAACCCGGGAACUGCGUCCGAUACUGGAAGGCUUGAAUCCGGGAGAGGGAUGCGGAAUUCCAGGUGUAGCGGUGAAAUGCGUAGAUAUCUGGAAGAACACCGGUGGCGAAGGCGGCAUCCUGGACCGGUAUUGACGCGUGACGGCGCGAAAGCCAGGGGAGCAAAGCG